rnacentral:rRNA from 1 species
UGGCUCAGAUUGAACGCUGGCGGCAGGCCUAACACAUGCAAGUCGAGCGGAUGAAGGGAGCUUGCUCCUGGAUUCAGCGGCGGACGGGUGAGUAAUGCCUAGGAAUCUGCCUGGUAGUGGGGGAUAACGUCCGGAAACGGGCGCUAAUACCGCAUACGUCCUGAGGGAGAAAGUGGGGGAUCUUCGGACCUCACGCUAUCAGAUGAGCCUAGGUCGGAUUAGCUAGUUGGUGGGGUAAAGGCCUACCAAGGCGACGAUCCGUAACUGGUCUGAGAGGAUGAUCAGUCACACUGGAACUGAGACACGGUCCAGACUCCUACGGGAGGCAGCAGUGGGGAAUAUUGGACAAUGGGCGAAAGCCUGAUCCAGCCAUGCCGCGUGUGUGAAGAAGGUCUUCGGAUUGUAAAGCACUUUAAGUUGGGAGGAAGGGCAGUAAGUUAAUACCUUGCUGUUUUGACGUUACCAACAGAAUAAGCACCGGCUAACUUCGUGCCAGCAGCCGCGGUAAUACGAAGGGUGCAAGCGUUAAUCGGAAUUACUGGGCGUAAAGCGCGCGUAGGUGGUUCAGCAAGUUGGAUGUGAAAUCCCCGGGCUCAACCUGGGAACUGCAUCCAAAACUACUGAGCUAGAGUACGGUAGAGGGUGGUGGAAUUUCCUGUGUAGCGGUGAAAUGCGUAGAUAUAGGAAGGAACACCAGUGGCGAAGGCGACCACCUGGACUGAUACUGACACUGAGGUGCGAAAGCGUGGGGAGCAAGCAGGAUUAGAUACCCUGGUAGUCCACGCCGUAAACGAUGUCAACUAGCCGUUGGGAUCCUUGAGAUCUUAGUGGCGCAGCUAACGCGAUAAGUCGACCGCCUGGGGAGUACGGCCGCAAGGUUAAAACUCAAAUGAAUUGACGGGGGCCCGCACAAGCGGUGGAGCAUGUGGUUUAAUUCGAAGCAACGCGAAGAACCUUACCUGGCCUUGACAUGCUGAGAACUUUCCAGAGAUGGAUUGGUGCCUUCGGGAACUCAGACACAGGUGCUGCAUGGCUGUCGUCAGCUCGUGUCGUGAGAUGUUGGGUUAAGUCCCGUAACGAGCGCAACCCUUGUCCUUAGUUACCAGCACCUCGGGUGGGCACUCUAAGGAGACUGCCGGUGACAAACCGGAGGAAGGUGGGGAUGACGUCAAGUCAUCAUGGCCCUUACGGCCAGGGCUACACACGUGCUACAAUGGUCGGUACAAAGGGUUGCCAAGCCGCGAGGUGGAGCUAAUCCCAUAAAACCGAUCGUAGUCCGGAUCGCAGUCUGCAACUCGACUGCGUGAAGUCGGAAUCGCUAGUAAUCGUGAAUCAGAAUGUCACGGUGAAUACGUUCCCGGGCCUUGUACACACCGCCCGUCACACCAUGGGAGUGGGUUGCUCCAGAAGUAGCUAGUCUAACCGCAAGGGGGACGGUUACCACGGAGUGAUUCAUGACUGGGGUGAAGUCGUAACAAGG